rnacentral:lncRNA from 1 species
UCUAUUUACUUCUACCUAUUUAUAUAAGUAAUUACUGACUUAUAUGUGAGUAGCCCUUGUCGUUAUACGUGAAGUCUUGCUUGAAAAUACUUUGGACACCUGACUGUGGAAGGUAGAAUAGAAAUUACCACAAAAAUAUUCGAAUUCUUUUAAAAUACUAACAAUGCCAAACAAGCUUUAUUCAGAUUCAAAAAAUCUCCAAAAGAAUUCCAAUGAAACAAUAAGAAAUCUUAAUGAAAUAGUAGAAUGAUUACAAACAUAUCUCAAAUCUAUCUCAAUUUCAUUCUUAAUUUAAUCCUAGUUGAAAUCUAACUUCAUUUAAACUUUGAGGCAUAAAUAAACUAAAUCUUAAAUUUUAAAUAAACUCUAAUAAAACUCUUAAUUCUAAAAUAAAUCUUGAUUAAAUCUUAAUCUAACUUUAAAUACUAAAUAAAAUACUAAAUCUUAAAUAAAAUCUUGAUCAAACCUUAACCAAACCUUAAACUCCAAACUAUACCUUAAAUCCUAAACUAAAUCUUAAACCCUUAAUCAAAUACUGACCAAAUCUUUAACCCUAAUCCUAAAUCAAAUCUUAACCAAAUCUCAAAUUCUAAACCAAAUCCUUAUCAUAAAUCAAAUUCUAAUCAAUUCCUAAUCAAAUCUUAAUCCUUAAUCAAAUCCUAACUAAAUCCUAAUUUUAAUCUUUAAACUUAAACCAAAUCCUAACCAAAUUCUAACCUUAAAUCAAAUCCUAAAUAAACCUUUAUUCUAAAUCAAAUCCUAAGCAAAUCCUAGUAAUUUCUAGAUUAGAAUUAAACGUCAAUUUCUAAUGAAUGAACUGUUGAUCUUAACUCAAUUUUUUCUCAAUUCUUA